CAUCCGGUUUCCAAGGGUCUUCAGCUUCCUGGAUAAAAUUCUUCAAUUGGUGGUUAAUCCUGUUCAACAGAUUUCCUUAUGUGGUGAAUAAGCCAUUUCAGACUCCUGAUGCAAUGCUGGUUAAACGUUGGCCUUGGCUCUUUUCCUCCUGCAGCUUUGUGUUGCAUCAGUGGAAAAUUGGCUGUUUGAGAGUUAUCCCAGAUGAGGUAUCCCUGUAGGAUGUUCAUACUUUUCCUUCCAUGGUAUGUAGCUUAAGAUGGUCAAUCAAAAAUCUUGCUGUCCUCAGAAAUGAGCAGCGAUUUAUUGUGAUUGCUAGGAAUUUUCUCCCAUGAUUACAGAUAGGAAUGACACCUGUGGUUCUGUAUUUUGCCUGUACCAGAAGAAGGUGUGAAUUUUUCAGGUCAUGACAACAUUUGCAUGACCUUCAAGG